rnacentral:sRNA from 1 species
UCCGUUGCUUGGAUCAGUCUAGGUGCAGCUGCCAGAUCCUUCAGCGUCCGCAUCUCGGCGUCGCCCAGCGUAGCGUCGCCCGGCUCUCCGCCGCUCUCCCGGGGGUUCGGGGCACUUGGUUCCCACAGUCUGGUCCUGCUUCACCUUCCCCUGACCUGAGUAGUCGCCAUGGCACAGGUUCUCAGAGGCACUGUGACUGACUUCCCUGGAUUUGAUGAGCGGGCUGAUGCAGAAACUCUUCGGAAGGCCAUGAAAGGCCUGGGAUCUUCUGGAUGACCUGAAAUCAGAACUAACUGGAAAAUUUGAAAAAUUAAUUGUGGCUCUGAUGAAACCCUCUCGGCUUUAUGAUGCUUAUGAACUGAAACAUGCCUUGAAGGGAGCUGGAACAAAUGAAAAAGUACUGACAGAAAUUAUUGCUUCAAGGACACCUGAAGAACUAAGAGCCAUCAAACAAGUUUAUGAAGAAGGUAAAUGUUUGUGAGUUAUAUUUUGACUUCCCCUCCACUGUCACUUCCUUCAUUUCUCUGAUUUGAAUGCAGUCCUUUGUAGGUAUGGGAAGCAGGCAGUAAAUGAUGGUUGAAU